GAGAGAAAUCACACUACCAUCAAAGACAAUGGGUCAAAAAGAAUGCCGUCCUAAGCUGAGAAGCCAUCUUCCUAACGACAGCCAUGUAAUAUGAAAGGGAAAAACACACUGUUAUUGAAGAACUUAUCAGCUAUGUCACAACUUCCACACAAAUACUCAGGAAAGUUAAAAGAAAAUUUUACCUCGGACACAGUUGAUGAUUGCUAAAGUCCUAUUGCAUGCUUUAAGAUGCCUUGCGUUUGGUGAAUUGAAGCCUGAUAUGUCAACAUAUUCUCUGUAAACACAGCAGCACAGAGGGCAAAGAAACACUUAUCCAGCACCACAGCUAGGACAAAAGGAAUUAUUUUGACAGUAAAUGGACUUGCAGCUUAGUUGGUACGUACCCAAUUGUGACUAAACCAAAAGAAAAAAAUCUGGAAACUGAAGUACCAAUACAUGAAAAGCGUUCUUUUGGUAUUGGGAGUGCCAGUUGUCUUUGUUUCAUGAACUACUUCUCCGUAAUAGCACGCAGCCAUCUUCAAGAGCUAAAAUAGCAUCCCCAGGAUAAACAGGAAUACUACACUCUUCCUUAAAUAACAAAAACUGCGGCUGGGCGUGGUGGCUCACACCUGUAAUCCCAGCACUUUUUGGGAGGCCGAGGUGGGCGGAUCACGAGGUCAGGAGAUGGAGACCAUCUUGGCUAACACGGUGAAACCCGGUCUCUACUAAAAAUACAAAAAAUUACAUAGGCGCGGUGGCGGGCGCCUACAGUCCCAGCUACUCGGAAGGCUGAGGCGGGAGAAUGGCGUGAACCUGGGAGGCGGAGCUUGCAGUGAGCCAAGAUCGCGCCACUGCACUCCAGCCUGGGCGACAGAGCAAAACUCUGCCC
rnacentral:lncRNA from 1 species